CGAUGGUGGCUACGGCGGAGAGGACGAACUGAGGGAGAUGGCGGCGGUUCAAAAGGUGACUGGCUUUACUGUUUCUCCGGCGGAGCCGGCUGGUCUGCUGGUGGUUGAUUCGCUGCAGCUGGCGGAGGCUGGUUCUGUUGGAGUUUCGGUGGUGAGUGUUGCGAUGGUUGGUGCCGACGUUGGUCGCUGAUUUGGCUGAGGACGAUGGGUUGCCGGUCGGUGGUUGGUUUAUCGGAGGCGGGAGAGAAAAUCCGGCG
rnacentral:lncRNA from 1 species